UGGGGAAUUUUGGACAAUGGGCGCAAGCCUGAUCCAGCCAUGCCGCGUGUCUGAAGAAGGCCUUCGGGUUGUAAAGGACUUUUGUCAGGGAAGAAAAGGGCGGGGUUAAUACCCCUGUCUGAUGACGGUACCUGAAGAAUAAGCACCGGCCAACUACGUGCCAGCAGCCGCGGUAAUACGUAGGGUGCGAGCGUUAAUCGGAAUUACUGGGCGUAAAGCGGGCGCAGACGGUUACUUAAGCAGGAUGUGAAAUCCCCGGGCUCAACCUGGGAACUGCGUUCUGAACUGGGUGACUAGAGUGUGUCAGAGGGAGGUAGAAUUCCACGUGUAGCAGUGAAAUGCGUAGAGAUGUGGAGGAAUACCGAUGGCGAAGGCAGCCUCCUGGGAUAACACUGACGUUCAUGCCCGAAAGCGUGGGUAGCAAACA
rnacentral:rRNA from 1 species